rnacentral:rRNA from 1 species
UGGGGAAUAUUGGGCAAUGGGGGAAACCCUGACCCAGCAACGCCGCGUGAGCGAAGAAGGUUUUCGGAUUGUAAAGCUCUGUCCUAUGGGAAGAAAAAAAUGACGGUACCAUAGGAGGAAGCCCCGGCUAACUACGUGCCAGCAGCCGCGGUAAUACGUAGGGGGCGAGCGUUGUCCGGAAUUACUGGGCGUAAAGGGUGCGUAGGCGGCUUUGCAAGUUGAAUGUGAAAUACCCGUGCUUAACAUGGGGGUGUCAUUCAAAACUGCAAGGCUUGAGUGCAGGAAAGGUAAGCGGAAUUCCUAGUGUAGCGGUGAAAUGCGUAGAUAUUAGGAGGAACACCAGUGGCGAAGGCGGCUUACUGGACUGAAACUGACGCUGAGGCACGAAAGCGUGGGGAGCAAACA